CAGCCUACUCCCUCGCGCUGCAGUGAGCGUCGGCCUACAGACCUCAGACAUCGUGGAGUAUCUCCAGAAACUCAGCAAGACAUCUGUACCGGACGGCAUCGUGCAGUUCAUCAAGCUCUGCACUGUGAGCUACGGCAAGGUGAAGCUGGUGCUGAAACACAACCGGUACUUUGUGGAGAGUGCGUUCCCAGAGGUGAUCCAACGUCUUCUUCAGGACAGUGUGAUCAGAGAUUGUCGUCUCCGAACCGCAGAGGGAACAGACACCGAGCUCAUCACUGAGGUCGUACACAGCAAGUCAGCGAUCUCUAAGUCCCUCCC